UGAGAGGAAUUGACUUACGCUUAAAUUUCGGGACGAAAUUUCUUUAAGGAGGGUAGAUUGUAAUACCCCGAAAAAUCCAAAUUAAAUUCCGUGGAUUUUUAGAAAUGAUUUCACGAUAGUGGGAGCGAGUACGAGGCUCGGAGAAGUUGUGGAAUUAGUUCGAACGAUUAAUUUUCGAAAAAACGAACGUUAUUUAGGGGCUCGCGAAAGUUGACUUUUUAUACGUUCAAAAUUUGGGAAAACUUUCUUCAUGAAAGUUGUAGAGCUCGUCGAUACGAUCGCGUGCAUAUGCGGAACGCAAAAAUCGGAGUUCGUAUGAAUUAGUUAUGAUUUUUUGAAAAAGUUUCCAAUUUAGUAUAAAGCUUCCAUUUUUGGAAAUUUCCAAAAAUAAAAACAGAUUUUUCCAAAAUUGGAAAAUCUGCUGCGAUUUUAGUUCCCCGCCGGAAAUCGCCUCCAAAACUUCGAUCGACGAUUUCUUCCUCCUCCGGCCACCGAUCCUCACCAAACUUCUUCCAUUGGCUUCGUAUGGUCCUUGCGCACCUGUCUGUGGCAGCCUUUCACGGCGGCGCGGCCUGUAGCGGCGGCGGCAAGCCCGGUCCGAUUUAAGCUCGAUUUUGGUCAACGCCGGUUUUCUCCUAGCUCCGGCCACCAAAACUUCCGAUCCUUGGCUCCAUGAACUCCCCUCAACCUGCUGAUCAUCAUACUAGGAGGAUUGCACCUAGAGUGACCGGUUUCACGUUCGUCGGAGCUCGUGGGUUCCCCUUGAUGUUAUUAACAACUCUCUAGAAGGCAUCGAGGCCUGAAAUUGAAGCUUUGACGUCGAAAUCGAGCCUUGCCGGAUUCUGCAAAAUUCUGGAAUUUUUCCGACCACCGAAGCUUUCGAUCGGUAUAUCUCGAGCUACAGACCAUAUUUUUCUGUGAUUCUUGAACCAGUGAGUUCUUCUUGAGUUUCUUAACAACUCUUCAGAAGGAAUCGAAGCCUUAAAUUGACGUUUUUACGUCGAAUUGGAGCUCGCCGUUUUCUGCAGUUUCUCGCCGGUUUCUGGAAAAUUCCGGCCACCUUCAUACUGUUCAAGUGGCUUUGUGUGGUCAUGGGCGAAGAUCCGACCGUUGGAUCUUCGUAUAAUUGAGAAAUGGUGAUUCGGAAGGCGAUUCGUGAGAAUCCGACCGUCAGAUUUUCAUAUAAUUUUGUGGAGAUGUUUGUAAGGAUGAUUCGAGAAGAUCUGACCGUUGGAUCUUCAUUAUAAUUUUGGAGGAUGAUCCUAAGGGCGAUCCGUGAGGAUCUGACCGUUGGAUCAUCAUUAAAUUAAGAUUCGACCGUCGGAUCAUCAUAUAAUUAGAAUCCGACCGUUGGAUUUCAGUAUAUGUGUGGUUUAUGAGUAAUUUACUAAGUCAAGAUAGUAUCUGAUUAGGUGAUUGACGAAUCGAGUUGGUGGACGAUUCAGAUGGAUAUGUGGCUUUUAGAAGACGCAGCUGGAAUUGGAGGUGAGUAAACCUCACGUGGUUCAUAUUACGAACCCAAUAUAUUUAAUUGCUUUAUUUUGCAAUCAUAUGAACUAUUGUUGGUGUAUUAGACAUUCCUGUGUGAAUGUCUGUAUAUAUAUUAUUACGUGAAAUAAUAUGUAUUGUUGGAGUUGUGUUGAGUUUAUUGUUGAGAAACAAUAUAUUGUGAGGGGUAUUGAGUUUAUUGUUGAGAAACAAUAUAUUGUGAGGGGUAUUGAGUUUAUUGUUGUGAAACAAUAUAUUGAGAGAGAUGUUGAGUUUUAUUGUUGAGGAACAAUAAAUUGUUGUGAUCUGUGGAAGAUCAAUAGGUCACGGGGUGACCAUGGCAUACUAUCAGCGAACCACGCUCUCGCGCCGGGUAGGUGGAACUGAAUAGUAUUAAAUCGUGAACCACGCUCUCGCGCCGGGUAGGUGGAAACGAUCAGUUAGAGCUCUAGUCUGUCUGCCAAAUAUUGAGUGAC